UUGUAGGUAUCCUGCUUGUCUAAGGUGUUCUGCUCAGCAUUCCAUCUCCUGCUGCUGUCCCUUCCAUCACAGUCCAGAGGGGCAGUGGGCUUGGCCAGAGCUCUGGCGAACUUGGGAUCUGAUGCUGUGUGGGUCGGUGUUGGCCCUGGGCUCUCGGACCAGCCAGCAGCAGGGCAUGCGGACUCAUGCAGACUUUGGCUCCGCAUAGAAGCUUUCCAAUAGCCACCUCCAGCAAAAGGCCAGGCUGCCUCAGGGCUCUUGUGGCUGUUUCCAGGGACACGGGCUCCAAGCUGACCUGAGGACUCACUGACUACAGGUCCGUGUUUCUCCCCACCCCCAACUGCCCAGGUCAUUCCCUAAGUGGUUCUCAGGGGCUGGCUCUGUCUCCCUCUUCUGAUCUGCUCUGCCCUGGGUGUCCACCAAGUGCAAGAGUGGAAACCACCUCAGGAGCACGCUGGGGUGGCCCUGCAAAGGGCCACCAGGUCAGCUCCCUGGAACUGAAGGGCACCCUGUUUCAUUAGCUAAGGAGGUUUUGACUGUCUGCUGCCCCCCCUCCUCCCCGAAAAGGCCACCCUGUUACCGUGAGGGGAGGGAGGUAGCUUGCCACUCGGGUGUUGAUCCAGAUUUGGCAUCUGUCUCUGGCAGCCAGGACGUCGCAAAACCAUCCUUGCCUUAGAGCCCAUUUCAACUUCCUGGCACUCCCAGGCCAAGGCUCCUGCUCCGGCUCAUUGGAGCUCAGCGACCUCUCCCUCUCUGUCUGCCCUGCUGGCACUGAGAGCCCAGCAUGAACUUGUGAGGGUCAUCUUUCCACUUCGUCAUUCAUGGAAGCUAUUAAACUGGAAACAAAGUGACAUUAGUGCUGUAUUAAUGCAAGUAGCAGCCACUUGAGUGGACUCACAUUGGACUCUGUGCCAAAUUCAUGGGCGGGGGCGGGGGGCAGUGUACGCGGUGGCAGAGUGGACUGAACAGGGGUGAGAGUGCUGCUGUGGGCGCCUUUCGAGAGCAUUGCUGUUGGGUAUUUACCUUGAAAACCACAUCUCAAUCCUGCAUACGGGCGCCGCGACUCCGAAACCAAAGUUACAAGGGGUGGGGGCGCCCCCCGUCAGGCCUUCCAGCUCAACAAAGCCUCUCCCCGCUGCUCGCUGGUCCUACCAGACAUCCCCGCCUCGGGCCUCUGCCUUUCCCAGGGAUCCUUCUCACCCCAGUGAGACAGAGCCAAGUCCGUGCAGCCUGCGCUUCGCCCCCAGCUGCGCAUCCGGAGCAGGCCGCCCCGACGUUGGCCUGUGCUGCAGAGCCCCAGGGGAGAGGCCCCACUGGGCCAGCCACUGCUUCAGGUUCACCCAGGCUGCAGGAGGGACUCUGUCCCUCCCUCUGCCCCUCCUGCGACAUCGUAGUUGCCUCUCCUGGAAGAGCCCACAGCCUUCUCCGACUCCCCACGGGCUCCCCCUCCUCCCACGGCCGUGGCCACUUGGGGGUACAGUACCUUCUUCUGAGGAUAAACUUUCUGUUCAUGUUUUUUUUAAGUGCCUAAGCAAGUUGCAGACCUCUGGAGCCCGCCAGAGAGGGGGCCGGUGCCCCUCUGUCCUGGGUCCCCAGCGUUCUGCAGGCAGAACAACUGCCAGGGCGAGCCCGUGGGGCAGACGUCACUACCCCGUCAGGCUGGCUUUGUCACUGUCUCUCGUGCUUUUUAGGGGUGUUUCUGUUGAAAGGGUUCUGGUCUCGGUUCAGAGAGAAUGUUCAGGGGCCUGCGUGGCGAAGUCCGUGACUACUGGGUGAGGCGGGCAGGGGCGCCAGCCAGCCUUGGAGCCGCCGCUGUCCGCCUGUGGCAGCAGCGCCCAGCGCAUCCCGAUCCAAGGGGGCAGAGUCACGUGGGGACGUUAAAGACAUGGUGACUCAUUUCCCACCAUUAGUCACUGGAACCCCGGCUGCCCCCUCGCCCCUCAGUGGAGGUUCGGGACAUCUGCGGACCAGGGCUUAGGAGGGCCGUCAUCGCUAGGGGUGACGUGGGAUCAGGAGUGUCUUUGAAAAUGAGUGUGAGAGUAUUGGCUUCUUUUUUGAAGUACUUUUCGUCUGACCUAAGUCCAGGCCUUUAUCCCGCGGUGGGUGUGGGUGUACAAGGCGCUAGUCGGUGACCGCUUGCUGUCCGGUCCGGCACCGAGCGACCUUGAGAGGAUGUGUCGGUGCAUUUGAAGGUUUUGCAAAAAUGGAACAAUCCACAGCCAGGCACUUUAUUUUCAUUAGUAAUCCAGCAUUUUCGUUCAGACGAUGCCAUGACCCCGACGCUGGGCAUUCACAUUUAACACGCCGGCCACAUCUGCCAGCGGCAUUCUGAGUUGGGUGGGGAAGGAGGCAGGUUGAUGAAGUGGUCAACCGGGGGUCUUGCCGUGGUGGCGAUGGCAGGAAGGCUUUUUUGGAGCGGCACCAAGCUGGACUCGGCGGCCACUGUCCCUCAGUUCUCCAGAUGCUAUUUUUACAGGUUCUACCAAGUGCCUGUCAAUUACCCCGGCUGUAAUUGAGAGAGAGAGGAGUGUGCGGGGGAGUGCAGCGAGCCGGGCAAGCGGCAGCGCAGUGCAAUUAGAGGCAGGGCGAGAGGCCCCGGUUUCUCUCCACUUAACUGGACUUGAACUCCCCAGCGAGCGCAGAGGCUGGGGAGUAAUUCCAUUGCGGAUGAUGGGCAGCUCUGUCUUACUGUCGCUGUUGGGUGGGAGCUAGCUGGCACAGCAAGUUAAGAGAACGGAAAGCAAGCUUGGCGGUCGCAGUGUGAUCAGAUACCACUGACCAGAUGCCUUGGGGCUGCCUGAGUGUUUAGCAUCCGCCAAAUAACUCGGCGUCAGCGCGGGCUGGGGAGAGCCCUCCUGCCUCGGUGGUCAUGUGUCUUAGCCUUUGUGUCUCUCUCUGGCGUCUCCGGUCUCUGUCCCCGUCCUGUGCACCAUGUGUCCCUGAGGGGAGUCACACCUGUGUCUGAGUCUGCUGUAAGGUGUUCAGUCUACCUCAAGGGGUCCUCAUGGUCAGCUCUGUCCCACAGCAGUCCUUCCACUCGCCACACACACUGGAAUGUCUACGUGCCCCUGGCCCUGCCUUCCCCGUCGGCAACCUCCCGACCCCCUCUCCCCGCAGUCACCACAGACUCCUAGUGCAAAUUGGAUGCUGCUUUAAAUGUGAAAACAAUUGUUCAAAAGCUAUAAAACCUGAAUGAAAGCUAAAGCUGAAUUUAUAAGCCUUGUUGCAUAUGAGCCAAAAGUGCAAAAAGCUCUAUAUAAUGAACUAACCUGCCACUCGUAUAAAUAUAAAUAUAUAUAAAUAUAUUAAAAUCAGACUGUUCUACAAAUUGUGUAUUUGUAUUUUUGUGUACGUACAAUUUUCUGCUAAGCAGAAGGAGGAUGUAGUAUAGGAUGCUGUGAGAAGAGAUUUGGUUUAAUCCUAUUUCUUUGUUACUUAUUUUUGUUAACAUCAGAUGCCUGUCUUCGUCUUACGUGUGGAUGACACUGUUGGGACAGCUGCAGUAUCUCUCUUCCUUCGGUCCAGAGUCCGUUAACUAAUGAAAUCUGGGGUUUAGAGAGUUCUUCAGGCCCCCAAACUCGGAUAAGUGGGCAGAGAGGGCAGGGCCUCUGGGAAGCAAAAUCCCGCUUCUAGAAAUCAGCUUCCAAGACAAAAGACUGUCAGAUCUGCCCCCACCACAGACUGCCCAGGCUCACUGGGGGGGCGUGGCGGGCUCCCCCUGGCCUCUGUGCCAGUGCUCUGGCCACCCAUGGCUCCCUGUCCCUCUGUGUAGCCGCUGCCUUUUUCAGAUCAAGUUACCAAAAUGCCUCCCCUCUGCCUGGCCGCCGGCCCUUCCCACUGGGACCUCCAGCCCAGUCCCCUGGAGCAUCUCAGAACCCACCUUCCCGGUGCUAACACACAGAGGGGGCAGUGGCUGCCGGGGCGGCCAGGCUGGCAGACCGGCUCUGUGUGCGCGUCCGUCCGUCUGGGGUAGGCGGCCCUUCCUCAAGGGCGGUGCCCAGCGGCCAGCCUGGCCCCGCUGCCCACCCACCUCUCAGCCCCACCGUGGUCCCCUGACUCGAACCUUCCCUAGGGAGAGCGAUACUGCACCUUCCCCCAUGGGACUCAUAUUUAUGACAGUGUGUAAUGACUGUAGCAAAAGCCCUUGUUUCUAGAUGUAAAUGGUCAAAGGAACAAGUGCUCUAUCGUAUUGAUUAAAAUAGUUCCAAUGAGUCCUGUAUCAUUGUAUCUCCUAUUCUGGAUUAGUGCCUUUUGGACAGUAGACUGUUCUGUAAUUAAAAUGUAGUAUAUACUGCUUUUUUGUACAGUUUUGUUUUAAUAAAACUUUUUUUUAAUUUGUGUUUAUUUUAGUAUUGUACCUAUUAGAGAAUAAAAUGUAUAACCGAA